GUUCCCUGUGGAUUUGCUCUAGUUCUCUUCAAAGGAAGAAUGUGGUGGAGCCAGCCCCUUGAGUUCCUCAGAAUGCUUUUCUAACGUGUGUGCACCAUAGAGUUUUGGAGUCUCUAGUGGCAAUUUAUGCCCUGGAACUUAAGGAAACCUUCACUAAGACUGAUGGUAGCACAGACACUUCAUCACUCCUGUGUUCAGGUUUACUUAUCUUACCAGUAUUAAGUAUGUUCAGAAAGCUUACUUGUCCAAUAUUUUUAUUGCUGCCUU